rnacentral:rRNA from 1 species
GAUGAACGCUAGCGGCAGGCUUAAUACAUGCAAGUCGAGGGGUAGCAAGAUUGUAGCAAUACAAUUGUUGACGACCGGCAAACGGGUGCGGAACACGUACACAACCUUCCUACAAGUGGGGAAUAGCCCAGAGAAAUUUGGAUUAAUACCCCGUAACAUAGCGAUGUGGCAUCACAUUGCUAUUAUAGAUUCGGCGCUUUUUUAUGGGUGUGCGGCUGGUUAGAUAGUUGGCGAGGUAACGUCCCACCAAGUCUACGAUCAGUAGCUGAUGUGAGAGCAUGAGCAGCCACACGAGAACUGAGACACGGGCCCGACUCCUACGGGAGACAGCAGUAAGGAAUAUUGGACAAUGAACGCAAGUCUGAUCCAGCCAGGCCGCGUGAAGGAUUAAGGUCCUCUGGAUUGUAAACUUCUUUUAUAAGGGACGAAAAAAGGUCUUUCUAGAUCGUCUGACGGUACCUUACGAAUAAGCACCGGCUAACUCCGUGCCAGCAGCCGCCGUAAUAC